rnacentral:rRNA from 1 species
GACGAACGCUGGCGGCGUGCUUAACACAUGCAAGUCGUGCGGUAAGGCCCUUUCGGGGGUACACGAGCGGCGAACGGGUGAGUAACACGUGAGCAACAUGCCCUUCACUUUGGGAUAACUGCCGGAAACGGUGGCUAAUACCGGAUAUGAAUUCCUCAAGAAUGUGGGGUGGUGGAAAGCCUUCGGGUGGUGGGGGAUGGGCUCGCGGUCUAUCAGCUUGUUGGUGGGGUGAUGGCCUACCAAGGCUUCGACGGGUAGCCGGCCUGAGAGGGUGACCGGCCACACUGGGACUGAGACACGGCCCAGACUCCUACGGGAGGCAGCAGUGGGGAAUAUUGGACAAUGGGCGAAAGCCUGAUCCAGCAACGCCGCGUGAGGGAUGACGGCCUUCGGGUUGUAAACCUCUUUCGCCUGCGACGAAGCGAGAGUGACGGUAGCAGGUAAAGAAGCACCGGCCAACUACGUG